UCCCAUAACUUCCAAUUACGAGUACGAUAAUUGAAAGACAUGAAAUUUCUCAGUUCUCUAUGGCAUCUAGUAGAUAGAUAGAUUAUUUUUAGGAACAAGAAAAUCAGAAGAAUCUUUCUCUCUAUUCACUAUCAUUCCACAUCUUUCACUUCUAUUUGUUUCUUUUUCUUUUCUUUAAUGUAA
rnacentral:rRNA from 1 species